AAAACAAAUGAUUGUUCAAGUACGACAGAGCUGCCAAAAUCCAUGUAUGCAAAAAUAUGCAAGUGUAGUCCAACAAUGAUUGUCAUCAUGAUUUGUCAGUUAAUGAUAGCUUCGAAUGCGGGCAGACUUGAUUGGAUUCAAGCCUGUAUAACCGUGCUGCCUCUACUCUACACUGUGAUGUGAACUCUGCCAGGCUGCCAGCGGAAAUAUUGAAUUGUUUGAUUGGUGUUUGCGUUGCUCGAGCCGUUUGAUGCGUGACCUCCACUCUCAAACGGAACGCUACAAGGCGACAGUCAGCGCUAAACGCCUACAAUAUUGAGGUCUUCGUUGGAGGCUUGUCGCAGAUUGAGAGACGACGUAACCUGACGUGACAUGAGUCUGCUAGAUGUCAUAUUAUUAUACUAUGAAAUGAAGCUAGCACGUGAAACUCAUCAGUUGUGAAAGAAACACUGCUAGAAACAGAAGCAGUUGGAUACAUCGAAAGAAACUAUCAAAUCAACUCAUAACCAUUCGAGUACAGAUGAUAUCGUAGAAUACGAAUAGCAUUUAUCCAAUAAUAUUUCUCUACCAAAUUACAUUAUCACUAGAUGGAAAAUUUGACCCCGAUCAUUAAUAUCAUUAAUUAAUUUGCUAUCGAGCGACGACACGCCACGAGCUAAUCAGCGAACAAUUUGUUAACAGUGAGUGAGUGAGUGAGUGAGGGAGAGAGUGGUCGCAAGUCAGGUGCCAACCGGAUGCGCCCGGCCAACUGAUUAUUAUUAUUAUUACUAUUUGGUGAGUGUGUGUGCGGUAAUUCGACUGUGGGAAAGUGCCGCCGCAGCGGCGCACGUUGUUAGCGAGUGUGCGCUUGUGCGCGUGUGUGCAUGUCUGUAUGCUCAACACGUGCUCAACGCGAGCUGUCGGCAGCCGUGGGAACGCCAAGCCACGCUCCGAUGAUUUGGCCCCUCAGGAAUGCCUUCAUCUUCCCCUCCCCCAACCUUCUCCACUCGGCGACAGCUAACCGCCAACCACCUGACGCUUACAUACACACACACACACACACACACACACACACACACACACAAACGACAUAAAGUCACUCACUCUUCCUCAAUAAUAAACCGACACAAGAUCUCCUCCACCUCCUCCUCAUCCACCUCCGAAGCCAAAGUAGUUUACGCCUCUCGUCACCACCAGCAACCAGCAAGGGACACGAAACAAUAAAAAAGGGACCCACAACUAAUGCGUUCACUUGUGCUCCAAAUUGCCUUUAUGCCAUAGUAUGGAGGUCGUGUUUGAUUUACUUUUUUGGGCGCACCAAGAUCUACAUAUCCGCUAGUUGAAGAUUUGUUGUUGAUUUUUUAGUGUUGGAGGUUGAAUGAGAGAAUACUUUGAUGAUUAAAUUUCUUUAUGGUAAAGUUUUAUUUUGGUGCAGUAUCGACUGAACUGAGAAAAUUUAUCUGAUCAAUCAAUUAUUGAUAUUUGUUGAUCGAUUAGUAUAAUAGUUAUGUGUAUAAAUUCAUUCAUUUGUCUUUACCUUGUAAUUUAUUUUACUGCCAGCAUAAUAUUACAAAAUAAUAUUUUAUAAAUGUAUGAAUUUAAACAAUAUUCCCAUGAAAUGAAUAAUUCCACACAAUAAAUUCUAUCUCUAUUUCAUUUAUGAUAGUAAAUAUAAUUUGAGUAGCAAAAGUCUUAUUAUCAUAUUAUCUACUUG